rnacentral:misc_RNA from 1 species
CACAAUGUCAUGUAUAAUUCCUGCAAGGUCUUUACGUUUUGUUAAAAUUACUUUGCUACAACAAUGUCCAGAGAUUUCACAUCAGGACGCCAACCUGAGCUCCCAACAGACAAAAGGGAGGCGAGAGAGGCCUUGUACUACGCAACUUCUGCGGUAAUGGCUGACAUUCCAGUAUUGAUGGAAGAGAUGGCUGAUAGUGUGAACGCAGUGAACAGAAAAAUGUAUGCUGUCAACGAGCUUUUGCGAGCAGUUUCACAACAUUAUGUGCAACCUAAUGGGAGUCAAAACACAAAACCCUAGAUAAUUGGCAGAAGAUUCUAUCUUUUAAUUUUGUUGCUUGGCAACCAAUUUCUGUGUAUCGAAUUCUAAGAGUAAUUAAAAAAAAGUGCUGUAAACCAUUUUUUUCUUUUCGCAUUAUUCGACAUUUUAUUAACAUGUAUAGCCCAGGAGUGCUAGUAGGCAACUGGUUUGAAAAGCGCAGUUGCUACAGUCAAAAGAGCUUUCAGCAUAAAUCUGUAUAUGCCACAGAUUAUUGUGCCCCACCAAAGCCCACUGAAGAUGAUUUAAUGGGCGACAUAAAGACACAGGAAAAUGUGUGUAAAGCAGAAAGUGAUAGUCAUAGUCUAAAAGGAGUCUCCUUUUUCUCAUUUUGGCAUUACAAAAUUUUCAGAGUGAUCGAGUACUGCCCACACUUGAUGGCUACAAAAAUAAUUUCUCAUCAAGCUAUGACCUGCAUUACAGAAUACAUCCAAAAGGGCUUUGUGGACCCAGGUUAAGAACUUUCAACACACAGUCUAAGGCAUGGCUUCCGGAUCAAGAUUUUGCUUUAAACUAUGGAAAUGUAACAGAAUUUGGGCUUCGGGCUUACAAGAAUGAACUCAAACGUCUACAUGAAUGCCGUGAGCGUUAUCUUUCAACUGAAUAUCGUGAUACAUAUGUACAGUACUCACGGGAGUUUUAUAUUAAAGUAAAAUAAACAACACUGUAGCAAUAUAACUAGCACACAUCAGUUUUCUCCUUAAUGUAGUGUGAGAAACAA